UUUUAUGGAGAGUUUGAUCCUGGCUCAGGAUGAACGCUGGCGGCGUGCCUAAUACAUGCAAGUCGAGCGAACGGACGAGAAGCUUGCUUCUCUGAUGUUAGCGGCGGACGGGUGAGUAACACGUGGAUAACCUACCUAUAAGACUGGGAUAACUUCGGGAAACCGGAGCUAAUACCGGAUAAUAUUUUGAUCUGCAUGGUUCAAAAGUAAAAGACGGUCUUGCUGUCACUUAUAGAUGGAUCCGCGCUGCAUUAGCUAGUUGGUAAGGUAACGGCUUACCAAGGCAACGAUGCAUAGCCGACCUGAGAGGGUGAUCGGCCACACUGGAACUGAGACACGGUCCAGACUCCUACGGGAGGCAGCAGUAGGGAAUCUUCCGCAAUGGGCGAAAGCCUGACGGAGCAACGCCGCGUGAGUGAUGAAGGUCUUCGGAUCGUAAAACUCUGUUAUUAGGGAAGAACAUAUGUGUAAGUAACUGUGCACAUCUUGACGGUACCUAAUCAGAAAGCCACGGCUAACUACGUGCCAGCAGCCGCGGUAAUACGUAGGUGGCAAGCGUUAUCCGGAAUUAUUGGGCGUAAAGCGCGCGUAGGCGGUUUUUUAAGUCUGAUGUGAAAGCCCACGGCUCAACCGUGGAGGGUCAUUGGAAACUGGAAAACUUGAGUGCAGAAGAGGAAAGUGGAAUUCCAUGUGUAGCGGUGAAAUGCGCAGAGAUAUGGAGGAACACCAGUGGCGAAGGCGACUUUCUGGUCUGUAACUGACGCUGAUGUGCGAAAGCGUGGGGAUCAAACAGGAUUAGAUACCCUGGUAGUCCACGCCGUAAACGAUGAGUGCUAAGUGUUAGGGGGUUUCCGCCCCUUAGUGCUGCAGCUAACGCAUUAAGCACUCCGCCUGGGGAGUACGACCGCAAGGUUGAAACUCAAAGGAAUUGACGGGGACCCGCACAAGCGGUGGAGCAUGUGGUUUAAUUCGAAGCAACGCGAAGAACCUUACCAAAUCUUGACAUCCUUUGACAACUCUAGAGAUAGAGCUUUCCCCUUCGGGGGACAAAGUGACAGGUGGUGCAUGGUUGUCGUCAGCUCGUGUCGUGAGAUGUUGGGUUAAGUCCCGCAACGAGCGCAACCCUUAAGCUUAGUUGCCAUCAUUAAGUUGGGCACUCUAAGUUGACUGCCGGUGACAAACCGGAGGAAGGUGGGGAUGACGUCAAAUCAUCAUGCCCCUUAUGAUUUGGGCUACACACGUGCUACAAUGGACAAUACAAAGGGCAGCGAAACCGCGAGGUCAAGCAAAUCCCAUAAAGUUGUUCUCAGUUCGGAUUGUAGUCUGCAACUCGACUACAUGAAGCUGGAAUCGCUAGUAAUCGUAGAUCAGCAUGCUACGGUGAAUACGUUCCCGGGUCUUGUACACACCGCCCGUCACACCACGAGAGUUUGUAA
rnacentral:rRNA from 1 species